rnacentral:rRNA from 1 species
CAUGGCGGCCUUAGCGCGGUGGUCCCACCUGACCCCAUGCCGAACUCAGAAGUGAAACGCCGUAGCGCCGAUGGUAGUGUGGGGUCUCCCCAUGCGAGAGUAGGGAACUGCCAGGC